AUCAGUGUUUUAGCGGCGGCUCCUUGCUAGUUGCUCCCGCUUGUUUCUCUAUGUGCGCUUUGGUCAAGAGCUCGACGACGAUGGAGGACUCCGCCGCCAUUCUUCGCCAUAUAUCUUCUUUCAAGGAUAUGCUAGACCUGGUCAAUGAAGAGAUUGAGCAUACCAUUUUGAGGACAAGAGAAGUCGACACAGAAAUUGCAAAGCUUUCUGAGGAUCAAGAUAACUAUGCUAUCAGAGAGCAUGGUUUGGCAAUGAAGAUAACAAGCAGGAGUCUUGAGCUUGAAGCUUUAGUUCAAGUGGCUAGUAAUUUUUUUUGUUAAAAUGUUAUACGGUCAUAUUCUUAUCAUGGAUGAUCUACUAUCUUCUGUUAUUUAUGUUCUUCUAAUUAAUUGAGAGUAAUGCUGCUUGUGUCUCAAUUGUCCCUUAUUGCACACUAGAUCACAAUAACACAUUGUUGCUCACGCUGUUCGCAUACCCCAAACAAAAUUUUCUGUUUUUUUAACACAACUUACAUCUUACUUGGACCUACAUGUUACUCUGGACAUCUAGAAAAUCUUUCUCUAAUUGUCACAGGAAAUGCAUAAAUAUUCAUCUCUCUAUGAACAGCUAUUUCAAAGGCCUCUGUAGAAUUGAUGGAAAAGGAAAUAGAAUCUCUGAAGCAAAACAAGGUUAACAUUGAGAAAAGAAUAUCCAACAAGAGGAAACAAUUUGAUCAGCGAAAACCUAGAAGGAAAAAAAAAACUCAUAUGUGCUUUGAUCAGGGAGGUUUUCCUUUUUCAAUGUAAAAAAUUUCAAGAGGAAAUGACAACCAGUGAAAAUGAUGUGUUGCGUCUUCUAUUAUUGGAAAAAGAGGCACUUGAGAACGAGAAGGAAAAUUUGCAAAAGAAAAUUACUGCUUUAGAAAAUUCUACCAAUGAAUUUAUUGAAGAGAUUCUUCAAGAAAUUCACAUGUGCAAUUCUGAUUACAACAUCAAUUUAUUUCAUAAUUUCAGCACUAGAAGCCGAGGUAAAUAACCUCAAGUCAGAACAUAUGAUUGUUCUCAACGACAUCAGUGAUCUGAGGACUCUCUUGGAAUCCAUCACCUCAUUUGAAGAUUCUAUCCAAUAGUAA